rnacentral:rRNA from 1 species
UACGUAGGGUGCGAGCGUUGUCCGGAAUUACUGGGCGUAAAGGGCGCGUAGGCGGUUUGCUAAGUUGGAUGUGAAAACUCUGGGCUUAACCCAGAGCCUGCAUCCAAAAACUGGCAAACUUGAGUACUGGAGGGGAAAGCGGAAUUCCUAGUGUAGCGGUGAAAUGCGUAGAUAUCAGGAGGAACACCGGUGGCGAAGGCGGCUUUCUGGACAGUAACUGACGCUGAGGCGCGAAAGCUAGGGGAGCAAACAGG